rnacentral:rRNA from 1 species
AGAUUGAACGCUGGCGGCAUGCCUAACACAUGCAAGUCGAACGGGAGUAGCAAUACUCUAGUGGCGGACGGGUGAGGAAUACGUAGGAAUUUGCCCUUAAGUGGGGGAUAACCCGGGGAAACCCGGAUUAAUACCGCAUGACCUCGAAAGAGCAAAGUGGGGGAUCGCAAGACCUCACGCUUUUGGAGAAGCCUACGUCGGAUUAGCUAGUUGGUGAGGUAAUGGCUCACCAAGGCGACGAUCCGUAACUGGUCUGAGAGGAUGAUCAGUCACACCGGAACUGAGACACGGUCCGGACUCCUACGGGAGGCAGCAGGUGGGGAAUAGUUGGACAAGUGGGCGCAAGCCUGAUCCAGCAAUCGCCGCGUGUGUAGAAGAAGGUCCGUUCGGGUUAGUAAAGCUAACGUUUAAGGUUAGGGAAAG